GAGAUAAUUCACAUUGAACUUCUAACUCAAUCUUUAAUAGUAAAUCUAUUUUAUCUCU
rnacentral:tRNA from 1 species